CACCCCCCACAGCCUGCUCUCGGCCUAUGAGCGAUGUGCCAGUGAAGCCCAGAAGGAGAAGCUGCUCUCCUCCAUCCGAUACGGGAAGCUCAAAAGGAACCUGGGCCCGGCUCUGAGCAGAACCCUCUACCAGCUGUACUGCACUCCAGGAGCUCUGUCCUAGAGGUUCAAGAACACUUCGAACUGCGUACACCAGACUCUACUUCACGACUGUAACAUGUUGGUAUGAAAGAACUUCACCAAUGUAUCCUCGUACUGAAUCGAUACAAUGUAUCAUCGUGAAUACAAUGUAGCAUCAUGGAUACAAUGUAGCAUCGUGAAUACAAUGUAGCAUCAUGGAUACAAUGAAUAGAUACAAUGUAUCAUGAAUAGUAUUUUGUGAAGCGGUGGUGUCCAGAACUACGGUGGCCUUGAAGGACACAUUUAAAAUACUACAUACUAGUGGAUCCCCUCUUUGUAUAAAUGAGCUCAUUCGAAAAAACAAACAAUCGUUUGUUUUCGGUGGUUCACGCGAUAAAUAUAAAACAUUUUGCACCAAUAAAUACCUCGUUACCAAUAUUUGUGACAUUUCAUGGCAAAUGAUGUACUGAAGUAUACAUUGAAGUACAAGUACCUUGAAUAUGUGUUUUAGGAGAGUACUGCAGUGAAGGAUCAUAUUUGCCAUUUGAUUUGACGCAAAUGACUAAAGUUUCAUUUAUUUAAAAUCCCCUAAAUCGUAAAAUCGAUUCAACAAAAUGACGUCAUGCCGAUAUAUUUUUCUUUCUUAGUUUAAUUCUAAAAUAAAUAUAUAGACAAACAGUGGAGAUAUCUCAGAUUCCACCAGAAGGAAACCAGCUUGAGGUUCAGCAUCAAGGAAGUGUAAUGAACAUCGGGGCCAAUUUAACGGAAACAAUAAGCCAUGGAGAGAAAACCACACCCUGCAGUACCGAGACGCUCCAGCAGGCGGAGGACAAAUACACAUGAGUCAUUUCAUGAAUUGACAACCGGUGAAUGUGCACAGCUACAGGAGAUCUCAGGAGUUAUUCUCUCUACUCGCGGAAGUACGAGCCAGGUGAAGCCUAUGUGUGUACUACAUCCCAUUUUAAAGUAGGGUUUAAGAAUUGGAUCCUUUUAAAACUUAUUUGGGGGAAUUUCUGCCUCAAACUUUCAGCUCCGCCGUCUCCACUCUGGUCCCCAACGCGACAACCUGUAUUUACAAAAUAAAAUA